rnacentral:misc_RNA from 1 species
GUCGUAACAAGGUUUCCGUAGGUGAACCUGCGGAAGGAUCAUUACCACACCUAAAAACUUUCCACGUGAACCGUUAUAACUAUGUUCUGUGCCUCGUCUUGUCGAAAGAUUUGAGGCUGAACGAAGGUGAGUCUGUGUCUUUUUUGAUGCGGAUUUGCUGAUGUUAUUUUAAACACCUAUUACUUUAUACUGAACUAUACUCCGAAUACGAAAGUUUUUGGUUUUAACAAUUAACAACUUUCAGCAGUGGAUGUCUAGGCUC